rnacentral:lncRNA from 1 species
AGUUACCAGAUAUCAUUAGUAUCUGUCAGUACAGAAUUCAGAAAACCCAGUCGUUGUACAGUUCAGUUAAUCAUGUUCAGAGUCUAUUCAGUUGGGAGUAUGAAUUAGCACCGAGUGAACCCAAGGAUGGGAACAUAUGCUAUCAGAUGAGGGUGUGAUUCUCAGCAAUCAUCCUUACAUUCUAGAACUAUAUAGCCAGCAUAGGUUGAGACAUCAACACUAUCAGAUAAGGGUUGAUGAGGUGGACAAACACUGUCAGAUGAGGGUCCCACUAUUCUCUUUUUGGGGACAGUAUCAGAUAACAGUCACCCACAGCUUGUCCUUACAAGUAGCGCGAUAUUGACACCCUUCCAAUCGGGGUUACAGAUUGGACCCCAACUCAUCCAUAAUGGCAUAUUAGGGGCAUGUCGGUUAGAUAACUACUUUCCACAGUUUCAGCUCAGAACUGUUAGAUACAUUCAUUCAGUCUCAGUAAUAGAACUCAGAUAGUUCUACAGAAUUCAAUAUUAUCAGAUAUAGUCAACUCAGAACAAAAUGGAAAUCAGCUAGUUCCAUCAGAUUCAGGACUGUCGAUACAGUCAUUCAUGUUAUCAGUUAUAUCAGUCAUGUUAGCUGUCAAUAAAUUCAUGCCAUCACGAUCUCAGAUAUAGUUACUACAUAUUUAUACAUGUAUUCUCACGUUCAUAUUAGUCAGUUAGUCAGUAUUAUUCAUGCAUAUGAACCCCAUGCAUUCAGCCUACCUCACAUGCAUACCAGUACAUUCAAAGUACUAACGUAUUUGCGCUAUGGUGUCUUAUACCAUAGGUUCCAAAGCAUGAGCUCUAGUGCAUCAAGAGAUUUCAGAUAUCAGUAAUCAGUUAGCAGUGAGUCCUCAUCCUUCGAGGAUAUGAUUAUUUCUUUAUUAUCUCAUUAAGUAAUUUAUUAGUUGGAGUUAGUUGGGGACAGUCCCAUCAAAUCCUUAUUCAGAUAGUUUAGUUAGUUAGAGUCUUUGCAGACUAUAAUGUUCAUACUAUCAUGUUUAGAUAGUUUUUUUUUAGGUAUUUAUACCCCAUCCCAGAUGUUAUGUUCUAUGGUGAUUUAUCAGUUUUGAACCUUAUCACCUUUUGGUUCAUGUUUCCGCAUUUAUUCAUUAUAUUAUGCAGUGUAUAGGUACAGAUAUCAGUCAUGGGUUAGCUUGUGGUCCUUCGGGGUCAUUAGCACUGUGUAGCAUUUCGGGUACCAGAUUAGGGGCAUUACAUUGAGAAUAGCAGCGAAGAAAAUUUAAACGUGACCUUCUUUCGACAAGUAUAUAUUUCAUUAUUUCCCCUCAAUUAAUAAAAUCAUACAUAAGACAAAACACAAUCUGUAAAGAUGACACAUAACACGGAUUUUAAUUUGCUUAGCCAAUUUAUUUUAACAUUAGUAUGAUUUCAACUAUAGUGCAGCAGAUCCUCUGCUAGAAUCUCAAUUAGGUAGAUUUGGAAAAUUCAAAAAAAGAACAUGUAGUUUAAAACACCCAAAAACAUCCUCAUAUUAGUAUACUUAGAACAUGUUUUCUAUAUGAAAUCUGGGAGGCAAGAAAUAAAGAAAAUAACAUUUUGAUUAAGAGGAUAAAGUUGUUUUCACUUUAGAAUCUUAGAUAAGUAAAUUUGAUCCCAAAUUCAAGCCUACACUACAAUACCCCAAAAACAUCUCGACAAUGGAUGAAAAUCCUCUUCGAAACAGCAAACUUUUAAAGCAAAAAUAGAGCAUUAGUAUGUGCCUUUAGGCAUAUCUUAGAAGGGAGGAACAAAAAUAGAGCAUGAGUUUCAAAACCAAAAGGCUACAAUCCACACUACUCAUGUGUUGACAUGUUUUCUCAAAUAUAAAAACACUCCCAAAGUCUUAAUACUACUAGUCACAAUAGAUUCAUAUGGGCAUUACUACAAACACAAACAUAAAUUUUAACAUGAAAACUAGAUCUGAAUACACAUAACCUUAAUAACAAAAAAGAGGAUUGAGAAUGUUAUAGCAUAUCCCUCAUAGAGGCAACAAUAGGACAUACGAAAAAAGAAAAAUAAGAUGAAGAAGGGAAAAAUUUGCAUGUUACAAGGAAGUGAACUGGAGGACUUUAGAUCAUAAAACCACACUCAAACUUUAUGAUUUCUUACUCAAAUCAUGCAAAGAAUAUCAAAAUUCAGAGAGAAAAGGGAGGAUCGAACGUUUGUGAAAAAAGUUGUUUGUUAUGUAUUGAAGCCUAGAAUUCAUGGAUUCCUUCAACUACCCCCCAAGGCUCCCUCAUCUCCUUAUAUUUAUAGUGAGAAGGGUUUUUGGGUGGGAUUUUGGGUGCCAUUUGAAUUUGAACAUUUGAGAGAUGGAAGCCAACUUACACAAUUUUGCUCUCUGAUUUUUCUUGCCUUGACUAAAUUCUUUAUUCUUUGGUCAAGGUCGUAAUCAAGAUUUUCUCAAAAUGGAGUGCCUCCUACUGCUAUGAGGCAAUUUGAAGAGAUUUGCAGUGCAAAAUGGAAUUGUCUACACCAAAACUGAGAAGAGGCAGGGAGAUUGUUUAUUCAAAAUAGGGCACGCAAUUUUUUUGAUAAAGAAGAUUUUGAGUUCAAACUUUCCUCAAAAUGGGAGGAAAUGACAAAACUCCCUGCCAUAGCAGGGAGUAAGAUAGAGACGAGAGAGAAUAAGAAUAAGGUGUAGCUGAGGAAUAUUUACAAUAUUCUAGGGCUUCAAGAUUAUUGUAGGUAUUUUGAGUAAGUAAAUUAAGGGUAUUUGGGGUUAUGGUAAAUGGGAUAUUAGAG